rnacentral:lncRNA from 1 species
CAGCCGCUGCUGAGAAGCUGUCAGCAAAGUUGCAGGAGGUCCCGCAGUGAGGGGAGCGACUGGACAGUGAGCGGCCAGAAGUGGCUGCUCUAGGACGAGGCCCCCAGGCUUCCCAACGCCCACGAGGGGGGCACGCGAUUGGUAAGAGAGAGAAGGAGGAAAAUCCAGGUUCUGCAGGCCACCCCCAUGGCAGCACCCCGGCAGUGGUGAGUCCCUGCGCGCCGCGCCAAAACCUCCAGCCUAGCCCGUCCCGGAGCCUGAGGUCCCUCCUGGCCACGUCCUCGCCUUGGGUUCAGGGCAGCUGGCC